rnacentral:rRNA from 1 species
UACAGAGGUCCCAAGCGUUUGUUCGGAUUCAUUGGGCGUAAAGGGUGCGUAGGCGGCGCGGUAAGUCGGGUGUGAAAUCUCGGGGGCUUAACUCCGAAACUGCAUUCGAUACUGCCGUGCUUGAGGACUGGAGAGGAGACUGGAAUUUACGGUGUAGCGGUGAAAUGCGUAGAUAUCGUAAGGAAGACCAGUGGCGAAGGCGGGUCUCUGGACAGUUCCUGACGCUGAGGCACGAAGGCCAGGGGGAGCAAACGGG